rnacentral:rRNA from 1 species
GCCCAAUGGUUAAAUAUUUUUAUGAAAUUAAAUAAAAAAAAACUAAAUGGCUGCAGUAACUAUGACUGUAUGAAUGUAGCAUAAUCAUUCGCCACUUAAUUAGUGGAUAGUAUGAAUGGUUAAACGAAAAUUUCUCUGUCUUAUAUAAUAAACAAAAAAUUUAAAUUAUAGUUAAGAUGCUAUAUAAAAUUGUAAGACGAAAAGACCCUAUAAAGCUUAACUAUAAUCUUUUACAAUUUAUUAAAAAAAAAUAAGAAAAAAGAUUGGUAGUUUCAUUGGGGCGAUGGUCUCUAAAAAAAAACAGAGAUAAACUAUAUUUAUAAUAAAAAAAAUUUACUGUUUAAUUUAUAAAUUUAACAGUUACAAAGUAGGUUAUAAUGACCCGUUAUUUACUUAAAAAAGAAAUAAUGAUCAAAAAAUAAAAGCUACUUUAGGGAUAACAGGAUAAUUUUUUCCAAGAGAUCUUAUCGAAGAAAAAGUUUAUCACCUCGAUGUUGAAUUAAGAUACCCCA